CCUGCCUCUGCCCUCCAGAAUAAAAGGGCCCUGGGAGUGAUGUUGGAAGAGUUUCGCCACCCUUCACCCCAAAUGGGCCUCUGGUCCAUGGAAUAUUCCUGGAGGGGACAUUUGUGGUGGCCCGUGGAAGACAGCAGACCAGUGAACAGUGUAGGAAUGAAGACCAAAAGACCCAGAAUGAUUUGAAUAUAGAACUGAGAACACAGGGAGCCUAUAGGAGAAUUCCCCCAAAUGAACAGGUGGCUAAAGGCAAAUGCCUCUCCUGACACAUCAGAGCUGGGGCAGUCCCAAAGGAGAGCUCCCUGGGGAGGCCCCAGGCU
rnacentral:lncRNA from 1 species